rnacentral:sRNA from 1 species
AUAAGAACGAUAAGGGCGACCGUGAGGUCGCCCAUUUUGUUUCUCGACUUAACACUUUUGGUUUGGCCGCCGAUCAGUUAAGAAGAGGGCAAAACUGGCGUUACGCAUAGCUGGCUGUUAGCUUAGAUUCCUUACUAUUUCACUACUAACAGUUUUUGUAACCAAAACCCGAGCUUACUCGGGUUUUUUUAU